rnacentral:rRNA from 1 species
UACGAAGGGGGCUAGCGUUGCUCGGAAUCACUGGGCGUAAAGCGCACGUAGGCGGAUUGCUAAGUCAGGGGUGAAAUCCUGGAGCUCAACUCCAGAACUGCCUUUGAUACUGGCAAUCUCGAGUCCGGGAGAGGUGAGUGGAACUGCGAAGUGUAGAGGUGAAAUUCGUAGAUAUUCGCAAGAACACCAGUGGCGAAGGCGGCUCACUGGCCCGGUACUGACGACUG